rnacentral:rRNA from 1 species
CCUACGGGGGGCAGCAGUGGGGGAUAUUGGACAAUGGGGGGAACCCUGAUCCAGCGACGCCGCGUGAGUGAAGAAGUAUUUCGGUAUGUAAAGCUCUGUCAGCGGGGAAGAAACACGGUUCGCGAGAGCCGCGGACGGUACCCGACCAAGAAGCCCCGGCUAACUACGUGCCAGCAGCCGCGGUAAUACGUAGGGGGCAAGCGUUAUCCGGAUUCACUGGGUGUAAAGGGAGCGUAGACGGCGAUACAAGUCUGGAGUGAAAGGCCGGGGCCCAACCCCGGGACUGCUCUGGAAACUGCCUGGCUGGAGUACAGGAGAGGUAAGUGGAAUUCCUGGUGUAGCGGUGAAAUGCGUAGAUAUUAGGAGGAACACCAGUGGCGAAGGCGGCUUACUGGACUGUAACUGACGUUGAGGCUCGAAAGCGUGGGGAGCAAACAGGAUUAGAUACCCGUGUAGUC